rnacentral:rRNA from 1 species
UACGGAGGGUGCAAGCGUUAUCCGGAUUCACUGGGUUUAAAGGGUGCGUAGGAGGGCAGGUAAGUCAGUGGUGAAAUCUCCGAGCUUAACUUGAAAACUGCCAUUGAUACUAUCUGUCUUGAAUAUUGUGGAGGUUUGCGGAAUAUGUCAUGUAGCGGUGAAAUGCUUAGAUAUGACAUAGAACACCUAUUGCGAAGGCAGCAAACUACGCAUAUAUUGACGCUGAGGCACGAAAGCGUGGGGAUCAAACAGG